CCUACGGGAGGCAGCAGUGGGGAAUAUUGGACAAUGGGCGCAAGCCUGAUCCAGCCAUGCCGCGUGAGUGAUGAAGGCCUUAGGGUUGUAAAGCUCUUUUGCCAGGGAAGAUAAUGACUGUACCUGGAGAAUAAGCCCCGGCUAACUUCGUGCCAGCAGCCGCGGUAAUACGAAGGGGGCUAGCGUUGUUCGGAAUCACUGGGCGUAAAGCGCACGUAGGCGGACUUUUAAGUCAGGGGUGAAAGCCUGAGGCUCAACCUCAGAACUGCCCUUGAUACUGGGAGUCUUGAGUAUGGUAGAGGUUGGUGGAACAGCAAGUGUAGAGGUGAAAUUCGUAGAUAUUUGCUAGAACACCAGUGGCGAAGGCGGCCAACUGGACCAUAACUGACGCUGAGGUGCGAAAGCGUGGGGAGCAAACAGGAUUAGAUACCCUGGUAGUCCACGCCGUAAACGAUGGAUGCUAGCCGUUAGCCAGCUUGCUGGGUAGUGGCGCAGGUAACCCUUUAAGCAUCCCGCCUGGGGAGACGGUCGCAAGAUUAAAACUCAAAUGAAUUGACGG
rnacentral:rRNA from 1 species